CACUUUGCCGGAAGACAUUUUGCCGAACGAACAUUUUGCCGACGGACGUUUUGCCGAACGGACAUUUUGCCGAAUGGAGAUUUUGCCGAACGGACAGUUUGCCGAAAGGACAACUUGCCGAAAAUAAAGAUGUUAUUUCGUCAAAAUGUUUGGGACUGUGACUCAUUUCUCAACUGUCUAAUUCUCAACCAAUGUGUUGUUGGUCAUUAGCAUAAUGGUCAUUAGCAGUGCAUAAUGGUCGUUAGCAGUGCGUAACCAUAUUGACUAUUGGUAGCUUGUUUGUGGACCGG
rnacentral:lncRNA from 1 species